AGGCCCGGGUUCGAUUCCCCACAUGGGUACAAUGUGUGAAGCCCAUUUCUGGUUCCCGCGCCCUGCUAUUGCCGGAAUAUCGCUACAAGCGGCGUAAUCCCAGCUCAGUCACUCACUA